CCUACGGGUGGCAGCAGUGGGGAAUAUUGCACAAUGGGGGAAACCCUGAUGCAGCGACGCCGCGUGAGUGAAGAAGUAAUUCGUUAUGUAAAGCUCUAUCAGCAGGGAAGAAAAUGACGGUACCUGAGUAAGAAGCCCCGGCUAACUACGUGCCAGCAGCCGCGGUAAUACGUAGGGGGCAAGCGUUAUCCGGAUUUACUGGGUGUAAAGGGAGCGUAGACGGCAGUGCAAGUCUGGAGUGAAAGGCGGGGGCUCAACCCCGGGACUGCAUUUGGAACUGUGUGGCUGGAGUGUCGGAGAGGCAGGCGGAAUUCCUAGUGUAGCGGUGAAAUGCGUAGAUAUUAGGAGGAACACCAGUGGCGAAGGCGGCCUGCUGGACGAUGACUGACGUUGAGGCUCGAAAGCGUGGGGAGCAAACAGGAUUAGAUACCCGUGUAGUC
rnacentral:rRNA from 1 species